UGUUUCAAUCUUCUUUAUACGGUUGAAAACAGGAAAGCCUCCUGUCACGCAGACUCCAGGAUUCUCAGGGCCCAAUAAAGAUAAAGCAAGCAGUAUAUGACAAUAAAAGUUCUGUAUUAUGUGACAUAAUUUAUCCAUCAAAAGAAAAGCAUACCUCGCCAACAACAUAAAUGGAGCAUCCUGCUGAAGAUGAAGAAAAGACCAUGGCAAGACUACCAGACAGAAAUUUAACAUCUGGCCGCUGGUUGCGAUUCAACCUACUGUGAGGCAAAAAGCAAAUGAGGGAAAAUAGGGGUCACUUGUUUCAGGCUCCUAAUUUUGCAUCAUUAUAUUCCCCUGGAAAAUAAUGUGACGUCCAGCAUUUCAACCGCAUCCGAAGGCCGCAGUCACCUCUCAGGUACAAGAUACAUCAGGCUCUCUGCAGCUGAGAACAUACUCCCUUCUGUCCCCAGUAAGAGUCACCUCCAUUCAGAAAACAGUAAAUACAAGAAGGGGGCCAAUAAAAAUUAAA